UACGGAGGGAGCUAGCGUUGUUCGGAAUUACUGGGCGUAAAGCGCGCGUAGGCGGCUUUGUAAGUUAGAGGUGAAAGCCCGGGGCUCAACUCCGGAACUGCCUUUAAGACUGCAUCGCUUGAAUCCGGGAGAGGUGAGUGGAAUUCCGAGUGUAGAGGUGAAAUUCGUAGAUAUUCGCAAGAACACCAGUGGCGAAGGCGGCUCACUGGCCCGGUACUGACGCUGAGGCACGAAAGCGUGGGGAGCAAACAGGG
rnacentral:rRNA from 1 species